rnacentral:rRNA from 1 species
UACGUAGGGACCAAGCGUUGUUCGGAUUUACUGGGCGUAAAGGGCGCGUAGGCGGCGUGUUAAGUCAGCUGUGAAAUCUCCAAGCUUAACUUGGAACGGUCAGCUGAUACUGAUGUGCUAGAGUGCAGAAAGGGCAAUCGGAAUUCUUGGUGUAGCGGUGAAAUGCGUAGAUAUCAAGAGGAACACCUGAGGCGAAGGCGGGUUGCUAGGCUGACACUGACGCUGAGGCGCGAAAGCCAGGGGAGCAAACGGG